AUGCGGUCGCCGCCGCGUACAAGAUGCUGCAGCCUCCAUCGUUCUGCGGCAGCCGCCUUGCCGUACUGCAGGAAGGGUCACCGGAAGAAGAAAGGUCGUCGUCACCGCGAAGGCAGCGGCGGCAUGACGGCGUCUCUCUCAGACGAUUCGCUGGCCAGCAUCUUCGCCCGGCUGCCGGACGUGGCGGCCGUGAUCCGCUGCGCCACCACGUGCCGGCGCUGGGCCCGCGUCGUGGCCACGAGGGCCGCCAUCAUCUCCCGCUCCCUGCCGCCUCUGGGCCACUUCCUGCCGGACCUCGCCAUCGGCGUCUUCCACCAGGAGAAAGACUGGCCCACCGCCCGCGGCCGUGACACCGUGUCGUCGCGCCCCUGCUUUGCCGCGAGGGCUCACUUCCUCGGCGUGGGUGGUGGUCGGCAGCUUUGGGGACUAGAUGACGAUGGCGGGCUCUUGGAUUACUCCCGCCCGGUCGCGUCCCGGAACGGACGCCUCGUCCUCGAGCUCCGACACGAGGGCCGCGCUGUCGACGGCCUCAGGCUAGCUGUCUACAACCCUAUGAUGAGUGACAAUAACAUCGUCAUCGUUCCACCUCUCAUCGUCUCAGCACCAGGUGGCAAGAACAGCACGACGAUACGCGACUAUGGCUGCGCAUUGCUCACCGGCCACGACCUGCGUCCACCGGGCUGCCAGAGCUUCUUCCGUCUACUACUCAUAUACAACCACAAACGCCGUCGCAAGGACUCCACCAUACUUCGGUGCUACUCCUCGAACACCGGUCGCUGGGGACCAGAGGCCGAAUCCGACGUCAGGAUCCACGCCUCCAAGCUGCGCUGCAUCGGCCAAGCGGUGGUGCGGCGUGGAGUGGCGUUCUGGGCUCUAGAUCACGGCGUGCUCGGCGUGCGCCUCGAUCAUCAUAUUGAUCAGGAUGGAGCCGUGACGGAUAUGCACUUGUUGCCUUAUAACAUAAACCAGAACUGGUCAGAGAAUAGGUUGCUGGGCAUCUCGGCGGACAAUAGACUCUUCAUGAUGCACGUUGGGGUCAGAAAUGGCCAGAACAAGAUCCCGCUAGCAAGCUUUUCAUACUUUGAGUUUCCCGAGGAAGACGACAUUCGCACCGGUAGAAGAGAAACCGUACGGGAGCACACAUUCGUGCUAAUGCACCAGAUGAAGAUGGAACACCAUCACACCGGCAUCAAGCUGCGGUGA
rnacentral:rRNA from 1 species